CGUGGCCGAUGAGCCGAGCGAGCUGGGGGCGGGGCCGCCUGGGGGAUGAUGUAGGGGAGCUCGCCUUUCCUGCCUCACUCGCAGCUGCCGGGUAUUUCGGAGAGUCUCCCGCCUCUGGACCGGCGUGCAAACCUCUGAUCCUGGAGCCGCUCGGCCGCUGGGAACCGUCCCCUUGGGUCGUCGCCCGGGCCGCCCGCCGUUCCCCGGCCCCGAGGGACCCGGCUGGCAGCGGCGUGGGGAGAGAUCAGCAUGAGCCAAGGGGUCCGCCGGGCAGGCGCUGGGCAGGGGGCAGCGGCCGCAGUGCAGCUACUGGUCACCCUGAGCUUCCUCCGGAGCGUCGUCGAGGCGCAGGUCACUGGAGUUCUGGAUGAUUGCUUGUGUGACAUUGACAGCAUCGAUAACUUCAAUACCUACAAAAUCUUCCCCAAAAUAAAAAAAUUGCAAGAGAGAGACUAUUUUCGUUAUUACAAGGUUAAUCUGAAGCGACCUUGUCCUUUCUGGGCAGAAGAUGGCCACUGUUCAAUAAAAGACUGUCAUGUGGAGCCCUGUCCGGAGAGUAAAAUUCCUGUUGGAAUAAAAGCUGGGCAUUCUAAUAAGUACUUGAAAAUGGCAAACAGUACCAAAGAAUUAGAAGAUUGUGAGCAAGCUAAUAAACUGGGAGCAAUUAACAGCACAUUAAGUAAUCAAAGCAAAGAAGCUUUCAUUGACUGGGCAAGAUAUGAUGAUUCACGGGAUCACUUUUGUGAACUUGAUGAUGAGAGAUCUCCAGCUGCUCAGUAUGUAGACCUAUUGCUGAACCCAGAGCGUUACACUGGCUAUAAAGGGACCUCUGCAUGGAGAGUGUGGAACAGCAUCUAUGAAGAGAACUGUUUCAAGCCUCGAUCUGUUUAUCGUCCUUUAAAUCCUCUGGCACCUAGCCGAGGCGAAGAUGAUGGAGAAUCAUUCUACACAUGGCUAGAAGGUUUGUGUCUGGAGAAAAGAGUCUUCUAUAAGCUCAUAUCAGGACUUCAUGCUAGCAUCAAUUUACAUCUAUGCGCAAAUUAUCUUUUGGAAGAAACCUGGGGUAAGCCCAGUUGGGGACCUAAUAUUAAAGAAUUCAAACGCCGCUUUGACCCUGUGGAAACCAAGGGAGAAGGUCCGAGAAGGCUCAAGAAUCUUUACUUUUUAUACUUGAUUGAGCUUCGAGCUUUGUCAAAGGUGGCUCCAUAUUUUGAGCGCUCAAUUGUCGAUCUUUACACUGGAAAUGCAGAAGAAGAUGCUGACACAAAAACUCUUCUACUGAAUAUCUUUCAAGAUACAAAGUCCUUUCCCAUGCACUUUGAUGAGAAAUCCAUGUUUGCAGGUGACAAAAAAGGGGCCAAGUCACUAAAGUUGCCAUGUGAAACAAAUGAGGAAAUUUUCUCUUAACCAAUCUUAUCCGCAGAUAAGGAGGAAUUCCGAUUACAUUUCAAGAAUAUCUCCCGUAUAAUGGACUGUGUUGGAUGUGACAAAUGCAGAUUAUGGGGAAAAUUACAGACUCAGGGUUUAGGAACUGCCCUGAAGAUAUUAUUCUCUGAAAAAGAAAUCCAAAAGCUGCCAGAGAAUAGUCCAUCUAAAGGCUUCCAGCUCACCCGACAGGAAAUAGUUGCUCUUUUAAAUGCUUUUGGAAGGCUUUCUACAAGUAUAAGAGACUUACAGAAUUUUAAAGUCUUAUUACAACACAGUAGGUAAUAAAGGCUUUUAUGUGUCUAACUAGAGACAUAAAGUGACUGUGGAAAGCCUUUUAAUUAUGGACAUUCAGCAGAAAGAGACUAGUCUGACUUCAAGAAUUCUGAACUCUUAAAUAGAAAAUUUAAAUGCUCACUUGAAUAUUUAUGAUUCUUAAUAGAUUAUCGACUAGAGAUAUUUAUAAAUGAAGUAUAUACUUUUAAAACAUGUAAGUUAUACUAAUUCUGUGUUUAAUUUCAUGUGUUUUCAUGUGCUGAAAAUUCUAUUUUUCUUAGAAUUGGUUUUGUUUUUAUUCUAUUAUCCUUUAUUUCCAGUUGUCAAACUUUAGAUGGCUAUGUCUGCAUUCUAAUAACACUGUUCACAGUCUGAUAUGGAAAAGGAGAACUAGGGAACAAAUGUUGCUUAGGGCUGGUGUCAGUGAUAAAAAAUUAUCAAUGCUUUUUAAUGUGUUUUUACUCUUGCCUCACUCUGUGUGUGUCACUUUCUAUAAUAUAAAGAAAUAUUAUAAUAUUUCUAGAAUCUGGAACUGUCACCAUGAUGAAUGGCCCUUUCAAUACAUAGUUACAGAAACUCCUUAAGAUUCCCCAGGACUUCAAUUUCACUGGUUUUUAGUUGCAGUUUUUAGUUGCAGUUUUUAGUUGCUGUUAUUGUUGCUGUUUCCAGUCUAAAGGACCUGCUUUGAUAAAGGUGAACAAGACCUCGCCCCUAUGCUACCCAGCCAGAUUUCAUGUGUGUAAUGGGCUGGCCCAAGAGUGUUCUUUUACUUAGAACUCCUUUUGAUUUUGCUUUUCUUUGCCCCUAGAAAUUUUAGGGACAAAGACAUUUUGGAAAUUGUCAGUUACUUUUAGAAAGAAAACAUUGCAGAAAUAUUUAACAGAUUACUUCUUGAUAAAAUUUAAAUGGGAUUAUAUGAAUUUAUAAUGCCAACUGAAAAUAUUAUAUACACAAAAGUUGCUAUUUUCACUUAAAGUAAGCAUUUUUAAAGGAUUUAUUUUAGAAUACAGUCUAUGCAAUCCUCAAACUCAGUGUGCUUUUCCCUGACAGAAUAUAUAAAAAGGUAGAUUAGGUCAACCCUCCUUUAAGCUUCCUCUCCCCUCACCUUUUCUUUUCACUGUAUAUAAACGGUACUUUCUGUGAUUCGUAGCAACAGAGGACUCUUAAGUCCUAAACUGUCAUUUUCUAAAUCUGGGAUUUAAAAUCUUUAAACAAUAUUUAAAAUCUUGAUUUUUUAAAAAUGUCAGCAGAUACAAUUUGGAAAGUUGCAUCUGUGUAGAAGUAAUGUAGGUACAAGAUCUAGAGUUUUUCCUUAGACUCUUUAGUCUUUUCUGAAUUAAAGAAUAAGUGCUCUUAAAUCCAUAUUUUAUCCUGCCAAAGUCUGAAAUGUGUUCAUUGAUGAUUUGGUGACAUCUAAAAAAUUGUAUUUAGUUGGCUUGGCUCACCCCUCUUAAAAAUACUUAGCCAUCUCUCGGUGGGAUGUGGCGGGGGCAUUAAGGUCUCAGAGUUACUUAUUUUCUCACCUAAUUUCAAACGGUUAUAAACUUGGGGUUUUGUUAUUGAUGGUGGUGAUAUUUUUUGUUAAGUUGUUUAAAAGGCUGACUUGAUUGGAGCCUCCUCUACUUUUUCUUGAGGGAUACAAGUAUUGUAUGGUGGGGGGGGGGGGGCCUUAAGGCAAACUGUCUAAAAAGUGACUAUCCAAUUAAUUUAGUAAAUUAGUAAGAAUUAUUCUUAGUAUUCAUUCAGAGUUUUAAGAUGUGAAAAAUUUGCACUUUGUUUAUUAACUAUAAAGAACUUUUUGAUAGUGUUAUUUCACCCUUCCCUCAGUUAAAGGCUAUUAUUUAAACUGUUUACUAGAGAAAAUCCUUGCUCAUGUCCAUUUAUUUAUUUUUUUCUGUACUGUGAUUUGUUUCAAGCUUAGGAAAACUAGUAUAUUAGAGAAUGUUCUAGGAAAUUAAAAGAUCUAGUUAGAGUAGAAAGUUCUUUUUAAGGUUCUUAACUAAUUUUUUCACAACUAAGAAAAUAAAUGAAGUAUUCUUAGGCUGAAAUUCAUUUUGAUUAACUUUAUUUUAUCAUAAAUUAGAUUGUAGGGGGCAGCCUACAUUUUUGUGUAUGUGUUUUAUUUCUUAAAUGAUUGUGACAUUUUAUGGUUCUUGUGAUAUAAACUGUUUUUCCAAUUCACAUCUUUUGUUGUGAAGUGAUAUUUUACUAGAGUACUGUCUGCAUUGUAAAAAUGCUUUGCUGGUGCUCUUGGCAUUUUGUCUUUAUCUCAUCACCUAAUUUAAAAACUCAGCACUUGAUAAUAUAACUGACAGAAAUGAUUGUACCUGCUGAUGAAGUAAUGAAAAUGAAGAAAAGGAAAAUAUUCCUUCCUUCAAUGGCAUAAGUUUAUUUUUUACUUAAGUGGCAUCUAUGUAAGUUAGACAAACUAUAUAUUAAAAUUGGUCAACUUUGAAUGUUUCUCCUGUUUUGAUUCUUAGAUUAUGAGGAGGAUCAGACAGAAUAGUAAUAGACUCCACAGUUUUAAAAUUUGAUAAGUCAAAACGUUUUGACAUAUUUAACAUUGUGAAUUAUUCGAUUAUUUUUAUCCUCUGUAUGUAUAUGAAACUCUAUGCCAUAUUUUUCAACUUUGCCUAUGUGCCACAAUUAAGAAAGGACACCUAUUUUGAUCUUCAUCAGCAUUGCCUUCAGCUGAAAAUUUGGGAACAGUUCACAGUAAACCUCUCAGUAGUUUGCAAACUGAGGUACCUGCAGAAACCAUAGCUACUCACCAAAAUACGCAGAUUAGGUACAUGGUAUCAUGGAAAUUAUUUGGUAAAAAAAAAAACAAAAACAAAACACACACAAAUCUUGUGUACUGUAUUUUAAGUAAUAUCUACAGGUGAAGCUUUGAUUUUUGAACAGAAUUCCAAAUAAUUUACUGUUGUACCCACCAUAAUCUAGAAAAUGUGAAUUAAAGUACAUGUUUCUAAA